AUACGGAGGGGGUUAGCGUUGUUCGGAAUUACUGGGCGUAAAGCGCACGUAGGCGGACUGGAAAGUUGGGGGUGAAAUCCCGGGGCUCAACCCCGGAACUGCCUCCAAAACUUCCAAUCUAGAGAUCGAGAGAGGUAAGUGGAAUUCCUAGUGUAGAGGUGGAAUUCGUAGAUAUUAGGAGGAACACCAGUGGCGAAGGCGGCUUACUGGCUCGAUACUGACGCUGAGGUGCGAAAGCGUGGGGAGCAAACAGGAUUAGAAACCCUAGUAGUCC
rnacentral:rRNA from 1 species